AGAUCGGUGUUCAAAUUUCAACCUUAAAAUAGUUUUAAGUACUUCAUCAGAUGGGAAAGAUGACAACUGGAAUACAUCCAAAAUGAGGGGAAAAAAAUACCCUGAAGUGGCAGCUGACAAUGGGACACCUUUCAAGGUUUCCACUUUUUACCCAAAUUUUCUGCAGUCUUCAGCCACAGAUUAAACAAAUCUAAUGUGUGAAGCAAGCUAAAACAAGAUGUUCACUGGCAGUCUCCCAAGUCAUUAAACGCCUACCACAAGAUUCUUCUCAUACUCUCAGGAUCAGACUGCAACUGGAUAAAAAAAGUCAGUUUGUAAUCUA